rnacentral:lncRNA from 1 species
GCUGAGAUAGCCAAGAACCAUGAGAGUCCUCCUUCCUGUUCUGCUGAGCAUCUUGCUCUGUAUAGAGCCAGGUAAGAUCUUGGGACUUUUUUUAGUAGUAGGGGAGGGAAAUCUGGAACUGGGAAGAGGGAGAGCCUUAGUAUUGGGGGAAGGAUGGUUCUGUUUUUUGGUUCAAGGGAUUGUGGUUUUGAAUUUGUAGAUUUAGUGAAUUGUAUGUGUCAGAUAAAUGGUGUCUCUUUGGGAGAUGGGUAGAGGGUGGUAGGAAAGAAUGCUGGGACUUCUGUGGGAAGAUCUUGCCCUCCUUAGAACUCUGACCCUUGAGGUCUGAGCUGAGAAAGAAGUCUGCUUCUUCCAGAGCUUUGUCUCAACCAUGGAUAUCUUAGGGGUGGAGCAUGUAGGUCUUUAUACUGCAGUUCUGGAUGUCCUUCCUCAGUCUAACCAAAGGAAUUUCUUCUUUACAGCUCAUUCUCUCAAAUGCUACAACUGUACCAAGGUACAGCAAUCCAGUCAGUGCACCUCUGUUCAGUGCCCGGGGUCAGCAACUCACUGUGGGAGUUUGGAAGCUGGAGAAAAAAAUGGGCCAGAGAACCAAAAGUUUCACUUCAAGGGCUGUACUAAUUCCUGUGAAAAUUUUUUCACGGAAUCAUUUUCAAAGGCCCAUAUGUUGAUCCCCCAAGCUAUCAUUGAAGUGGGUUAUUCCUGCUGUUCAAAAGAACUGUGUAAUGGGGCUGAUGGGAUCAGGAGCAGCCCCUUUGCUCUGCUAGGAGCACUCCUACUCAGCCUUGGACCUGCCUUCUUCUGGGCCAUGAUAUGGAGACACAGAGAAUGGAGGAAUAGCUCCCUAGGACAGGAGCAUGACUCAGAACUUUGGACCAGAAAAGACUUCAAGAUUCUAGAGACCUUCCUGAGAUAUUCACUGGUGGAUUCGAGAAAGCCAGGAUGA